rnacentral:rRNA from 1 species
UACAGAGGGGGCAAGCGUUGUUCGGAAUUACUGGGCGUAAAGGGCGCGUAGGCGGCCUGCUAAGUCGAACGUGAAAUCCCCGGGCUCAACCCGGGAACUGCCGUCCAAACUGCUUCGCUUGAGACCGGGAGAGGUGAGUGGAAUUCCCAGUGUAGCGGUGAAAUGCGUAGAUAUUGGGAGGAACACCAGUGGCGAAGGCGGCUCACUGGACCGGUACUGACGCUGAUGCGCGAAAGCGUGGGGAGCAAACGGG